GACGAACCGUGCGAACGUUAUUCGGAAUCACUGGGCUUAAAGCGCGUGUAGGCGGGAGGGCACGUCCGUUGCUGAAAUCCCCCGGCUCAACCGGGGAACGGGCGCGGAUACGACUCUCCUUGAGGGGCGUAGGGGGACCUGGAACUUCCGGUGGAGCGGUGAAAUGCGUUGAGAUCGGAAGGAACGCCCGUGGCGAAAGCGAGGUCCUGGACGCCAUCUGACGCUGAGACGCGAAAGCCAGGGGAGCGAACGGG
rnacentral:rRNA from 1 species